GAACCUGAUACUGAUGUUGUAUGUGAAAACAUCACGAAAGAAGCAGAUGAAAAGCUAGCAGAGAUAGAACCCAAACCAAGCGGACAACAUUCACAUCACCACAACCUGCACAGGCACAGGCACCACCACCAUCACGCAGGCAGUCAUCAUUCCAAAAAUGGGAACGACGAGGCUCCUUCUGAAACUCACAAACGUCAUCGUCAUGGUGGUCGGCGUCAUAGAGUUUUUGGCCGUAACAGACACAAUCAGACAGGCAGUCAAGAGCAGGUAGACACUGUUCCUCCAGGAGAAGGUGUAGAAAUUACACAAGAUAAAAAGCUAUGAAAAAAGGGGAAAACUACCUGUAAAAACCAGUUAACUUGAAAUUGGCAGACAGCAUCAGACUCAACUUUUAGUAGCUGAUGCUGUCAUUGUCGACACCUUUUGUUUGAAGAGCUAGGGAAUUCUGUCACUUGACAGUGUCGCGGAGCACUUCCAAAUUCCUGCAGGUGACACGGCCAGCUGUCAGCAGAAGACAUCACUGAGUCUUGACAGUGACGUCUGCUCAAUGCUGCCUGACAGUCGCCAGCAGCAGGAGCAAGUGAAACCAGCGACACCUGACAGUGAGAGGAAAAGGCAAGAAACUGAGCCUGAAAAACAAACUAAGCACCACCCUAAAAAUGCAAGGGAGACCUAGGACCUGAAUUCGUAUAGUUGCGAGUGGAAAAAUUAAGAGAUUAAGUGUUUUUAUUGCCCCCCGUUAAAAAUUAUACUAGAGACAGGUGUGUAGAGUUAAAAUAUUACAAAGAAAUAGACUUUUAGAGCAGUGCUCACAGAAUUACACAAUACCUGUCGAAUUCCAUCUGUGAAAAGCUUCAUAAUUUCAAGGAAUUUAAUUGGCCUGUUGUUUGUUUUUCAGUUGCAGUGGAAAGGUGUCUGCAUUCUUGAUUAAUUUGUCUUUCUUGUUUCUCUUCUAACAUUCUGCUUGCAUUUGUGAGGAUGGGAGCAUAAACUAUGACCUAGGGGCUCCUGAUCUGAUGUUUUGCAAUCAAGAACAGAAGACAACCAAAAAAAGAUAUUUUAAUCAUUUUUUAUUGAGAAAAUGGAAUAUAUUCCAAAUUUUUUUUUGCCUAACCUGGGGAUACACAUUACGUAUGAGAAAAGAUUGUUCUUUAACAACAUGCCAAAACAACUGUUUAUCUCAAAUGUAAGAUACAUGCACUAAUUGCAUUAUUUUAAAGUAACAGAUUUAUAUGCUUAACUUUUGUGGCUUAGAUACAGUAUCAGGAUCCAUUAAUACUUACUACAACAGCUUAAAAAUUCAACCAACUUCGUAAGAUCAUGCCUAAAGUGGAAAACAGUGUUAACAACUCUUCAUGCAGAAUUAAUAACAGUAUCAAAACAGGAAAGACAGGACAAAUUUAGUCCUGGCUUAAUGUUUAUCUUCAUUAUAACAGUGCUGAAUUUGAUAAAUCUGUAAUGAUUGGUAAGAUAAUAUACCACUUAAACUUGUUUAACUUCUCUCUCUGUAGCUUAGCAUUUGUAACCUUUGAUUAACUGAGCUGAAAAAAAAUACAGUUGUUCGAAGGAUUCCUGGAUGAAGAAGAGAUUAGUCAAGAAAGGAAAACUGCUCUGAAAGUGUACACGAUAAUUAAUGAUGGUUUAAUAGGGAAAUUAUUACUCCUGUGAAACCUGAAUCUUCUUAUUGUGAAUGCUGAUGAGCAAGAAAGUAGCCCUGAAUAUACACAGAAUGCAUGGCUUUGGAAUAUUUGACAAGUGUUUUCAAUAAAAAUAUUCAGCAUUUCU
rnacentral:lncRNA from 1 species